GUUCCUAGAGAUGCUAGAAUUCUGGAGAAUUUUAUCUUUGAAAUUUUUUAAAAUGUUGCAUGAUGAGUUCCUGUAUGAUGAGAGUUUAAAUUCCUACCACAGCCAUAUAUACAUGCUUGCUAGACUUUGAGCCACACAUUUAAUAUUUACUGCUUAUGAGCAUUGAGUGUGGUCAAGCUGUGUAGACCCUUAGGAGCUUGUCAUGUGGUUAAAUCAAGAUUUCACUUGCACGUUCACUCAUAUAUGCUACUUCUACUCCGGAAGUACCAUCCACAUAUAUCCACCCAUUCCAUUUCCAGAACCACCCAAAAAUAUUCUACUCCUAAUCCGAGAGAGAAUAACCAAAAAUAUUUCUGUUUUUCCCUUGUGAAAUAAAUGCUCAAGUUAUCUUGUUACUACCACUUGCUAUAUUAUCUCAAGAGAUGAGUGUUUAAAAAAAAUAGAGAAAAAUACGAGGAAAUAAAAAGGAGCAAGUGCUCGGAACCUCGAAAGAAAAAAAAAAGUGAGACGAGAGGUAAAAAUGGACAGGUGUCCGACAAUAGAAUUAGGGGUACAAGAUACCCACCACCUGAGAGAAAAGAAAAAAGAAGAGCAUCUCAUUCUCCUCAUAAAGUUUCAAAAAGCAAGGAAGGUAUGUAUCCCCUCAAAGAGCAAAGUAGAAUUAGACUUCCACCACCCUUGUUAUCACCAUCAUCACCAUACACCAUUCAUUCGCCACACAUGCACAUCUUGAUUAAACUUAUUGAUUUGUUUCUUUGGAUCCAUGGUUUGACUAUACAAUAAAUGUCUUGUAAGUAUGUAUACUUUUAUCUCCCACCUAUGAGCUCCAGAUAUUAAAGCCUUAUUAGAGUAGGGUGAGAGAGGAGGCAAUGUCACUAUGCCUUACACCACAAAUACUACAAAUCUUGAGAGAAGGCAUAUACCAUCACUGCCUUGGUAAGGAUCCAGAAAUACCACAAAAGAGAGAUAUGAGAGAAUCAUACAAGGAAUCUCUGAGUUUUAUUUGAAAAUCUGCAAAAACCCCAGAGCUAUAGCUGAUCAAGAAUAAGAGACAUGGCACAUGGCUAGACUGUUCUAUCUUUUAAGGAGUCUCAACAUGAUAAAGGUUAGAUAUUUAUGCUAACACUUAAUCAGUUCCACAAGCUUUGUUGUCUAUUUGAGCUCUACAGAAUUUAAGAAUGUAAGAAGACUAGCAGACGGAGGACAUUCUAAUCGCUGUCAGAAUGCUGCUGACUUUCAAAUACACCUCUGCCACCUUUGCUUAGUGUGCUUAAUAAAUAAAUAAAGUAGCUAUGCUAAUCUGUAUCUAAAUAAAACUUAAGCAUGGAUAUGAUAAAUAGUUGCUCUGCCUAAUUUGUAAAUUUUAAGUUCUCUCUCAAGUUUAGAUAUAACUGUUAUAAUUUAAAGCUUGCUCUAGACCUAAACUUGUGGGAUGAAAACUUGAUCUGAAGUCUAAGUUGUUAACGGAUAUGAUAUGGGAAGGUUGAGCUGCUGUUUAUCUGUUCCUAGAGAUGCUAGAAUUCUGGAGAAUUUUAUCUUUAAAAAUCUUUAAAAUGUUGCAUGAUGAGUUCCUGUAUGAUGAGAGUUUAAAUUCCUACCACAGCCAUAUAUGCAUGCUUGCUAGACUUUGAGCCACACAUUUAUUUACUACUUAUGAGCAUUGAGUGUGGUCAAGCUGUGUAGACCCUUAGGAGCUUGUCAUGUGAUUAAAUCAAGAUUUCACUUGCACGUUCACUCAUAUAUGCUACUUCUACUCUGGAAGUACCAUCCACAUAUAUCCACCCAUUCCAUCUACAGAAUCACCCAAAAAUAUUCUACUCCUAAUCCGGGAGAGAAUAACCAAAAAUAUCUCUGUUUUCCCCUUGUGAAACAAAUGCUCAAGUUAUCUUGUUACAACCACUUGCUAUAUUAUCUCAAGAGAUGGAUGCUCUAAAAAAAAAGAGAGAUACGAGGAAAUAAAAAGGAGCAAGUGCUCGGAACCUCGAAAGAAAAGAAAAAGUGAGACGAGAGGUAAAAAUGGACAAGUGUCCGACAGUAGAAUUAGGGGUACAAGAUACCCACCUGAGAGACAAGAAAAAGAAGAGCAUCUCAUUCUCCUCAUAAAGUUUCAAAAGCAAGAAAGGUAUGUAUCCCCUCA
rnacentral:lncRNA from 1 species